UUGUCCCUACGGGGCGCAGCAGUGAGGAAUAUUGGUCAAUGGGCGAGAGCCUGAACCAGCCAAGUCGCGUGAAGGAUGACGGCCCUACGGGUUGUAAACUUCUUUUGUCAGGGAGCAAUUGGGUCCACGCGUGGGCUUAGCGAGAGUACCUGAAGAAAAAGCAUCGGCUAAAUCCGUGCCAGCAGCCGCGGUAAUACGGAGGAUGCGAGCGUUAUCCGGAUUUAUUGGGUUUCAAGUGUGCGUAGGCGGAGUAUCAAGUCAGCGGUAAAAAUUCGGGGCUCAACCCCGUCGUGCCGUUGAAACUG
rnacentral:rRNA from 1 species